AUUGAACGCUGGCGGCAUGCCUUACACAUGCAAGUCGAACGGCAGCGCGGGCUUCGGCCUGGCGGCGAGUGGCGGACGGGUGAGUAAUGCAUCGGAACGUGCCCAGGAGUGGGGGAUAACGUAGCGAAAGUUACGCUAAUACCGCAUACGUACUGAGGUAGAAAGCGGGGGAUCGAAAGACCUCGCGCUCAUGGAGCGGCCGAUGUCGGAUUAGCUAGUUGGUGGGGUAAAAGCUCACCAAGGCGACGAUCCGUAGCUGGUCUGAGAGGACGACCAGCCACACUGGGACUGAGACACGGCCCAGACUCCUACGGGAGGCAGCAGUGGGGAAUCUUGGACAAUGGGGGAAACCCAGAUCCAGCAAUGCCGCGUGUGGGAUGAAGGCCCUCGGGUUGUAAACCACUUUUGGCAGGAAAGAAAUCGCCUGUGCUAAUACCACGGGCGGAUGACGGUACCUGCAGAAUAAGCACCGGCUAACUACGUGCCAGCCGCCGCCGUAA
rnacentral:rRNA from 1 species